rnacentral:rRNA from 1 species
CGCACGACUCUCGACAACGGAUAUCUCGGCUCUCGCAUCGAUGAAGAACGUAGCGAAAUGCGAUACKUGGUGUGAAUUGCAGAAUCCCGUGAAYCAUCGAGUCUUUGAACGCAAGUUGCGSCCGAAGCCAKGCUAAGGGCASGUCUGCCUGGGCGUCACGC